UGAGGAAUAUUGGUCAAUGGACGAGAGUCUGAACCAGCCAAGUAGCGUGAAGGAUGACUGCCCUAUGGGUUGUAAACUUCUUUUAUACGGGAAUAAAGUUUGCCACGUGUGGCAUUUUGUAUGUACCGUAUGAAUAAGGAUCGGCUAACUCCGUGCCAGCAGCCGCGGUAAUACGGAGGAUCCGAGCGUUAUCCGGAUUUAUUGGGUUUAAAGGGAGCGUAGGCGGAAGCUUAAGUCAGUUGUGAAAGUUUGCGGCUUAACCGUAAAAUUGCAGUUGAUACUGGGUUUCUUGAGUGCAGCAGAGGUAGGCGGAAUUCGUGGUGUAGCGGUGAAAUGCUUAGAUAUCGUCAAGAACACCGAUAGUGUAGACAGCUUGCCAGGGAGCAACUGACGCUGAGGCACGAAAGUGUGGGGAUCAAACAGGAUUAGAUACC
rnacentral:rRNA from 1 species